AAGUGGGGAUGACGUCAAGUCCUCAUGGCCUUUAUGCCCAGGGCUACACACGUGCUACAAUGGGCGGUACAAAGAGAAGCAACCUCGCGAGGGUGAGCAAAUCUCAAAAAGCCGUUCUCAGUUCGGAUUGAAGUCUGCAACUCGACUUCAUGAAGUCGGAAUCGCUAGUAAUCGCGGAUCAGCAUGCCGCGGUGAAUACGUUCCCGGGCCUU
rnacentral:rRNA from 1 species